ACAACUCCUGCAAAGAGGAUUUAAUUGGCUUAAAAUACUUAUAGUUAGUUAGUGAGUUUACAAGUUAAAACAACAGAGCAGUAGCACAGGCUUGGAGUCACUGUCCACCUGGAACUCUGACAGUUGUAAGUAUCUAACGUUUGUUAAACAACUCUUUUGUCAGAUGUGGACGGGGAUAACGGGGGAGUUCCAGAUGGACAGCGACUCCAGACCUGUGACUACUUCCGGUCCAUUAAGCUGUCACUCCAGAACUCGGGAGCCAUUUACCAGGCAGCUUCCAAAGAAUGACGCAAGGCACAAAAAACAAGUGAGGGAGCGCAGACGCAAAAGAGUUCAUUGCAAACAAAAAGGUGUGUCCACACUGCGUUGAAGCUCCGCUCCCUGCAUCAGCUCCAGCAUAUGGUACAGGGUCAUCACGGCAAUACAGAAGAUUAUGCCCACCAGCACGCCCAACAACCGACCCCUCUUCGUUACCAUGACGACGAAGAACUAUCAAGCUUGAGAUACAAGAAAACACAUGUGAUUAAAUGACAAAAAGGAUUCACAAUAUGAAAAAAUUCGAAUAAACAAGUGCUCAAAUUUAUAA